UCGAGACCUGCAAAGUAAACCCGCGAACACGUUCUCAACAUACUUAGGUUUGCGCCGUUAGAUGCCUUGGCGUCUCUCGUCGCAAUCCUUCCCGACGACACACGCUUGCGUGACUCGGGUUAACGAACAUCCCAGCGCGGCAUGCGCCAAGGAAAACUAUCACGAGAAUGCUGGCUCCCGUGGGGCAUCGUUUGCGGUGCAUCACGGGGUUGAACGCACUUCUUGAAUCACUUAACGACUCUCGGCAACGGAUAUCUCGGCUCUCGCAUCGAUGAAGAACGUAGCGAAAUGCGAUACUUGGUGUGAAUUGCAGAAUCCCGUGAACCAUCGAGUCUUUGAACGCAAGUUGCGCCUAAAGCCAUUAGGCCGAGGGCACGUCUGCCUGGGCGUCACGCAUCGCGUCGUCCCCUCCCACCCUUUCCUUUGCGAAAGUGAUGGAUCUAAGGGGCGAAUAUUGGCCUCCCGUUCUCUCUUUGAGCGGCUGGCAUAAAUUUGAUUCCGUGUCGACGGUUGUCACGACUAGUGGUGGUUGAAUCAAUCGCAUGCUGUUGUGCAAGAUCUCGUCUGACUGUGGACAUCAUAUUGCUAACCCAAUAACGCCACGUGCUUUCGACU
rnacentral:rRNA from 1 species